UAUUUAUAUUAUUUGACAUAUUAUUUGGUAACAUGUCAGGAGGACGAGGCAAAAGAGGAAAAUAAUUUCACGACAAUAUUUAGCUUGGUUUUCCUUGCUGCCAUGUCUUUCUUUGAAAUAUUUGAUGUAUUACAAUGUGUUUAGGUAUAUUUUUUGGGCGUUUUAUUAUGUUUUAAUGUGUUAAGGGAUGUUGUAGGGUGUUUUAAGCGUGUGUUGAAUGUGUUUUGGGUGUGUUAUGGUGUUAUGGUGUGUUUUGGGUUUAUUAUAAGUGUUUCAAGUGUAUUGGGGAUGUUUUUGGUAUAUAUUAAGGAUGUUUGAAUAUGUUUGGGGUGUAUUACGUGUGUUUUGAUGUGCUUGGUGUAUUUUGGAUGUGUUUGGAGAUAUUUUGGGGAUAUUUUAGCUGUAUAUUUGGUGCUUUUAGGGGUAUUUUCGAGUGUUUAAGAUGUGUUCAGGUGUAUUUCGAGGUGAUUGGGGUGUUUUGAGUGUUUUUAGGGAGUUUUUAUAGUAUGUUGGUGAUAUAAGAGUUGCUUUGGGAUGUUUUGGUGAUGUUUUAGGCAUGUUGGUGAUAGUUAUUGGGGGUGUCAGGGAAGAGGCGAGGUGCUUGAUGUAAGCCAAAAGAUUUUGAUGUCUUGUGGAAGGGCUGCGAUGUUAGAAGCCUGUCAUGUGUGUUAUAGCGUACAUUUUGAUAAAUGAAAAUACUAGAUAUAUGGGGGAAGUGGAGGUCUGGAGGGGGCCCCACUGAGGUGUAGGGGUGAGAGCAGUAGGGGUACUGGAGGUAUUAAGUAUGGGGACGAGUACAAGAGACGCGCAGUAAGCCCAGAAUGUGGUAAGCCAGAUGUGGGUGUGGGUGGCUUAAAACUGUGCUAAAGUAUGACUGGCGUUUGGUGUGGGGGUACACGACCAAUCGAGCAGAGGACCAUUAGGCUUCUUUGGUUUUCCUUCAUUAUAUUUCCUUCCAGUGCUCGCAGGCAUAGAAUAUUAUUCCCUGCACCUCUCCACCCCAUAAAAAAUAAAUAAAUAAAAUAAAGUUAGCAGUGAAUUAUGGUGGAAAAUGAAAAAAAAAAAAUGUGAAGUUGAGAUUUGGGGUUAAUCUUACCAAUAGCAUCUCCAUAUGUAUUCUAUUGCCGCCGCCCCUCUAGAGGAUGAGCAGUCUUGUGGACCUGGGGGGAAAGCGGGGUUUUAGGGUGUGGGAGGUCAACAUAGGCCAAAUUUGGGUAACAGAAGUAUAUUGAGGAAACAACUUUUGGGAAAUAUUUCUAAGAAACUCAAUAAACGUGGAAUAUCCGCCUCCCAUACCCACGCAAUGCUAUCAUAACUGCACGCUGCUGGCCUUGCUAACUGGGGACUCCCACAAUGCUAUCCUAAGCUUCUCAUGUCACUAACAUUGCUAACUGGGGGCUCCCACAAUGCUAUCCUAACCGUCUCACAUCACUAACCUUGCUUACUGGGGGCUUCCGCUAUGCUAUCCUAACUGGUAAAAUUGCAGUUUAACACAAUACAUUCUAUCCUCUUUUUUCCCUUUCUCUGUCAGUAACAAGCUUGGAUGGAAAGUGGCGUUUUAGAGUCAGGGAAGCUAAGUUAUGCCAAAUUUGGACUUUCAUGAAAGGCUAAGGAUGAAACACUGUGAAGGUUGUGGUGAUAGGUAAAAUUAUCUAUCACUCCUUGUCAGUUUUCUCAGUGUUGGUGCAGCUUUCAGUUAUAAUUUCCCUUUAUUUUCUCUCUUGAUUGGCUUAUUCAGCUUAUCUGCCUUAAUCCGACAGCUUCUAACAUCUACACUCUUUCUAUUUGACAUGCAUUUCUUCUUAACUAGUUUUUUCUGACACUUUUAAAUAACUUUUUUUUUUUUUUAUUUGCUAGCUUAUUUAAUUUAUCCAUCUUAAUCUGGCAGCUUUCAACAUUUAUUUCUUCUUUUCUUUCCUUUUGGCAUGGAGAAAAUUAACAUUAAUUCCUUUAUUUUCUCUAUUUAGUAUAUUAACACAAACCUUCCUUUCUGCAUUAUUGACUACUAUUAUUUUGACAAGCAUUUCUCAUAGCAUUCAUUGUCUGUGUAGGGGUUGGGUGUGGCUGUGAGUAACAUGUGUUUUCCUCUUUACUUCAGAACAAGUUGAAGUUUAUGGGAGCUUGUAAUGACAUUGACCGGGCUGUGCUGAAGUGUCUGGAUGCAGAGGACAGACACUGUCUUGCUCGUGACCAUGGAUGACAAAAGCCGGUUACACAGCCUCAUGAAGGGUCACACUGGGGGCGUUACUAUGGACAGUGUGGGCAUUGGCAUUGGUGCUGGCAUUGUCAGGAGCAAUGCUAUAGGCCUGGGUGCCUUGGCUAUGACAAGGCAGUAAUGGGAGGAGAAGGGGAUGGAGAACACAAUGAAGGAAGACAACGAGAUUGAAAAGAUGGAUGUAGACUUGAACCACAUGGAGAAGGACGAUAGGUUGUGUCCACCGUGAGAGGGCACAGAACACCCCAAGAUGAUGUACUCCAGCCUGGACAGCAGCGACCAUGUGUGUAUGAUGGUGCACCGUGCAUACCAACAAACUGUGCCUGGUGACCCUCUCUGCCAGGCACCCUGCAUUAGCGCCCAGCUAGAUCACACAGGGAAGGCAGGUGGGGUGCCCAGAUGAUGGGUCUCCAGUCAUCUGUGUGCAUCAUUACCUGUGCUGACGGCUCCAGGCAUCUUGUGGUGGCUGGCAUACAUGGCAGGCUGGUGGAGGUUGAGUGACUGCUAGCCAGUGCCAAACAAGUGAGGGAGAGGCUAGAUGCUGAGGGCUUCCUGGCUUUCAUCCUGCUGCCUAUCAAGAAGAGAGAAGGCUUCCUCAAGUGCCUUAUCACCACCAAACAGUACCAAGAGAUGUGCUCCUGAGACACCUCCUCCUGCCAACUGUUGUUUCUUAUAUUUCUUGGCUGUUGCUCUGCUGCUUGUUGUUUUGUCAUGUCCUCAGUUUCCUGGGAACUUUUUGAGUCAUUACUUUGCUGUAUGUUCUCAGUUUAAGCUCUAGGGUCAUUGAUUUAUUAUUUUUCAUCAUUGUGUACUCUUAUUGUUCUCUUCUCAGUCAGUUAUGAAGUUCUAGUUACACACUGAUGAAAAUGUUAUUGUAAGUGUUGAAUCAAGUAACGAGCAUCAUAACACAUUCAUUCCCACUCUAAGAAGAAUUUUUCCUUCAGUCUCAGCUCCUCCACUCUGCUGCCAAUCUAAGAAAGCUAAAUAGAUUUGCAGCAGAUGAGAGAACUUGAGAAUGAGGGAAGAAGCUAAACAGACAACAUUCCUCCCUCAGUCUCAGCUCCUCCACUCUGCUGCCAGUGUAAAAGAUUAUCAACAGAUCAGAGGACUAGAGAGUGAGGAAAGGAGCUGAACAAAGGAAAUGAUGCUUGACUUGCCACCCAGACAGCACACUCUUUCACUUUGUUGUUGUUGUGACGGGUCUGAGCCAAGCACAGUGCAUGGGCAGUGAGGAAGCCAAGUGCUCGUAGGUUACUACCAUAUAUUGAUAACUUUGGAGGUUGUCUGUUGUUAUUUGAGAGGUUUUUGAAGGUUAUAAGUUUUUAGAUUACUGUCAGAUAGUGUUAGCUUAAGAUUAACUGAUGGUAUUACUUGUAGAUUAAUGUCAGAUGUUUUACAAUUUGGUUCCCUGUGGUUAGUGGUGUACUUCAGAGAUUUUUGCAGUUAUAGUGUUGUUAACUCCUGUACUUGAUAGGUUAUUUUAAAGUUAGUAAUGAUUAGUCUGAUGUUCAUAACUUGGUGGUUUUGUGGAUUUGUUAGUGUACUUGAGGUUGUCGUAGUGAUACUAUUAAUUGCGUGGGCUGAUUUCAAAAUAUUUCAAGCCUUAUUUGUUUAGUUAAUGAAUAUGUAUUGCUAUUUUCUAUUACCCUCAAGUCUUCCAUAAGGGGACCUCUUGUUGUGAACCUGUGAUGGCUAUGAACACCAGCUGUAUUCAUAUGCCAACAGUGGUGGUGGCUGGUCUCUUGUAUAAGUAAGUCUUGGUGUCUUCUAUCAUACUAGAGGCUCUGUGUUCUCCCUCUGCUUAAGGAUGAUGCUGGGUUGGUGACGCAUGACUCAUCAAUGACCACUAUUUGCUACUGAUGUAUGGCUCCUAAGGCAGAAAUGGAAUAUGUGAUCACUAUCACACUAAUAUGUUUCCCAGCCAGACUGUUUCUAAGUCUUUCUCUGGUAAACUCUGGAACUCCCUGCCUGCUUCUGUAUUUCCACCUUCCUAUGACUUGAAUUCCUUCAAGAGGGAGGUUUUAAGACACUUAUCCACCAAUUUUUGACCACUGCUUUUACCCUUUUAUGGGACUGCCAUUUCAGUGGCCAUAUUUUUUUAUUGGAUUUUUGUUGCCCUUGGCCAGUGUCCUUCCUACAUAAAAAUAAAAAAAGUAAUUGA